UACGAAGGGGGCUAGCGUUGCUCGGAAUCACUGGGCGUAAAGCGCACGUAGGCGGACUCUUAAGUCGGUGGUGAAAUCCUGGAGCUCAACUCCAGAACUGCCUUCGAUACUGGGAGUCUCGAGUCCGGGAGAGGUGAGUGGAACUGCGAGUGUAGAGGUGAAAUUCGUAGAUAUUCGCAAGAACACCAGUGGCGAAGGCGGCUCACUGGCCCGGUACUGACGCUGAGGUGCGAAAGCCAGGGGAGCAAACGGG
rnacentral:rRNA from 1 species